UAUGAUUAUUUUUUAAUAAUAAUUGGACAUUAAAGUUGGGGAAUUUUUUGAGAAUAAUAAUAAAAGAGCAAAUGCAAUUGUCCAAGAUUAAUAUGAAUAAAAAACAAUAACGAAAAAAUCAUUGAAAUGAGUGGACGUGAUGUUCCUUAAGCAAGUUGCUAAUAUGGAAAGUUUGCCUAUAAAACAAUGAAAUAUACAUUUCAAAAAUCUGUUCCCAUCCAUCAAGGUAGAAUCAGCAAUUUUACUCCUUUACAGGUUAAUUUUAGAAAAUCUAGGCAACAAACUUGAAACGAGCAGAAGUCCACAAGCUUUGUAACAUGGUUUGUUUUGCUUCUUAUUUUGCCUGUGCAGAACAGUCCUUUAAACAAUCAAGAGGCAUAUAAUUGGAUAUCCAAUGGUUGGAGUAAUCAUUGAGCUCAUACUAAAGCAUAAAUAUUCAUUUUAGAAAAGUAUUUGUUCUAUCUGAGAUGUUGAUAAACAUCUUCCUUGUCACAAAAGAGCAGGACACAGUUAAGUGGCUAAUAGAUAAUGUGACAGAUGAUUCCCUUGGCAUUCCCUAUAAUUAUAGCAAAUUAACAGUGAUGAAGUGCUUUUAAUUUGUUCUAAUUCCAAUUUAGUUUGAUAGUUUUCCUGCUACAACAAUUAGUAUAUAGAAAGCUGACAAUCAGGACAAUUUACAUCAGAAAUGCAUCUUAUGAUCCAGAACAAUUCAAACUUUCUCCUUUCUAUCUCUCUUUAAGAGGGCUCUGACUCACUGUUCCAUAACAAGAGAUACAAAAUGAGGAAGUGCAAAAAAUAAUAUAGCAAGGAGUCAAGUAGAACUACUUUGCUGAGAGUCUAUUGCAAGUCUUACACAGAAAGAAAGAAGCAAACUGCCCUGUCAGAGAACUGUGCUAUGUCAGUUGUGAAUACCAAUAUUUGGCCUUAAAGUACUGUACUCAAUUGAAAAGAAUUUAUGGAAUUUAGAAAAACUAGCAGAACAGAGUGCCACAUACAAAAGAAAUAACAAAAUUUUCCAGCAACUGAAAAACAAUAAGCCACCAAUUCAAUCCAACAUGAGAUCAAGCAUUUAUCAAAUCCCAGUUAGAAAUAAUCUCAAAAGAGAAAUAUACAUAGGAUACAUGAUCUGGGUGCAUAAAUGCAAUUUUUGCACCCAGAUCAAAGAACAUCAACGAGAUGUUAGAAAACUAAUCUGUUCAAUGCCAUGCCUUACUCACUUGACCAAUAAGAGAAUGCCAAUCAGAUAUAUAUUAAGCCUAACAGACAUUUGAAUAAAUUUAAACACUUAUUUAUUUCAACUUUUAUGAAAUAUUAUUAAUUUUUAUAUAUGAUAUUAAUCAAUAUAUUUAGUUUAUCA
rnacentral:lncRNA from 1 species